GAAGUUUCAAGCUGUUGCUCUCAAUGCAACAUGUAUCAGACAGAGAUCAAUCGCGGGUUCAGAUCUAAUUGUCUUUGUUUUGUUGUAUAAAUACACAAGAUUUUUUACACAUCGCAUAUGUUUAAAGCUCAUGUUUGAAGCAAACAUUGAAAAACAUUGAAGACCCGUCGCAAGAAAAACCAGAAUAUCGAUCGAAACGUAAGUUAUCCGUGUAAAAAAUGCGCCAAACUAAUCACCUACGUCACCUACUCAAACAUGACAAAUGUGAAAUAUGCGGCAAAGAACUCCGCCAUAUGAAGAAACACUUAAGAAAUGCACAUUCGACCGAAGAAAAGCCAAAGCCGAAAAAAGAUUGCAAAAAAUACAAAUGCACCUUACCUUUGUGCGAUUACUCAACGGAUCUGAUGGCCAAUUUUCAGCGACAUUAUAAAUCACAUUCAAUAAAAAUCAAAUACAGAAAAUUCAACGGCUUCCUGCGCCGUUUCAAUGGAGCAGUCAAUGUUCUGAUGGAAUUCGUUACGGCUACAAAUUGCAGGGAAACAUUAAUAUUGUGCUGCCAAAAAUACGAACAGUGUGCUAGUUUGUUAAUUGAAUUAAUGAAGUUCUGUGAGGCGAAAAAUACCCCAACAGAGUUUGUCCAUGUACUGGCACCAAAAAAAAACGAAAUGCACCAAAUAGGACUGUAUAUACUAUCGCGGAUGCACACCUAUGGUGGUAUGUAUCAAUGAUGAGAUGAUGAUAGAGCUGAAGUCGAUGUUGAAGUUGCCGAAUUAAUGAAACCAAACAUUCCGGUUUAUAACUACGUACACUCCUUCUUCGUAAUAAAAGAAGAAAUUACAAAAGACAAUUAUACCUGCAAUAAAUUGUCCUUCAAAUAAAAUGCAUUUCAAAACGUUGUUCCGGCUUGGCUUGUCCAUUUCACACUGUUGUCUGAUUUCCAUUGGAACAAAAAGUCGUGAUCACACUUAAAACUAAUUAAACACCGUCGCCCCCGACAAUUAGAAGAGGACGAAUUGGGACCCAUUAACUAAACAUUACCACACACAAUGAAUUUAAGCAGAAAGGAAAGUGUUUAAUUGUAGGCAAAGACAUUAAUUCC